CGAUUCGCGCCUAGGGGAGGUCCUCUUUGCUUGCAGCAUGCUCCUGGGGAAGAUGAAACCAUGGCAGUACCACAUGAAUCAUCUGAGGUUAUAUCUCAAGGUGUCCUGAGAAGAUAUAAAAGAUGUCCUCACUGAGCUGGAACAUUUUCAGAUGAAACCAUGGCAGUACCACAUGAAGAAUCUGAGGUUGUAUCUCAAGCUGUCCUGAGAAGAUAUAAAAGACGUCCUCACUGAGCUGGAUCACUUUCAGGUCCAUGGAGAUGUUGUGGAUUAAAGACAUGUGAAAUGACAAAGGUCCUGGGGAUCAUAAAAUCCUUGUCUGAACCAGGCUUGUUUGGCAGAUGAGGCUGCUGGUCUCCUUAUCAGGGUCUCCUAGGAUUGUGGAGAGUUUGAGUCUUUGCUUCUAUCAGGGCUUUGAAUUGAAGUGAAUGGAUUUUGGUUCAAGCAACAAGGACUUUGCCACAUGGAUAACGUAGCAGAUGUCUUGAAUGUAGUACUUGCAUUUCUGAUAUGAAUGAACCUAAUAAAAGCAUUUAAAGUCA